rnacentral:rRNA from 1 species
AUGGAGCUCCUUACGCUUCUUGCCACUGCUUGCUGCCUCCUCCUAGCUGCCGUAGCUCUCCGGCGAAGCACUAGGCGAGCCCAUGCCCGCAGGACCCUCCACCGUGUCCGUGACGCCGCUGUGGCCCAUCGCGCACUCAACAAGAACGCGGACGCCUUCUUGGACCGUGCUGAAGGCUUCUUCCCCGUUGUCCUCGGCACCGGGCUGCGCCGCGCCGAGCGGAACGAGACCAUUGUCACGGCAUCCCAUGGCCCCCACUGGCGGGCGCUCCGCUGCAACCUCAGCGCCGACGUCCUACACCCGUCCCGCGUCGCUUCACUGGCACCGCUGCAGCAGGAGGCCGCCCAGGCCCUCGUCGCCGGCCUGUUCGCCAAGGUCCAGGGCGAGGCCGCGUCUGUUGUUAUCCGAGGCGACCUGAACCGCGCUGCGUUCUCCCUGUUGGCGCGUAUGUGCUUCGGCGACGGCGUCGACGGGCACUGCGUGGAGUCCAUGGAGCGCGAGAUGCUGGAUCUGCUGGCCACCGUCGGGGAGCUCAUCCCCGUGGUGGACGGCUCGUGGCUGCCCCAGCUCCUGUACCGGAGGCAGCUCACCCACCUCAUGGGCGCCCUCGGCAGGCAGAAGCUGAUGUACCUUCCUCUCAUCGACGCACGGAGGCGACCUGAAUCUCGCGUCUAUAGGGGCGGCGGCGUCGCCUAUCCGUACGUGGACUCACUCCUUGAUCUCCGCGUGCCCAACGGCGAGGGCGGCGGGCGGCGGGCGCUCAGGGACGACGAGCUCGUGUGCCUCGUAUCCGAGUUCCUCGGCAGCGGCUCGGGCUCCACCGUGGCCUGCGUGGAAUGGACCCUGGCCCACCUCGUCGACAGACCGGAGGUCCAGGACAAGCUGCGGCGCGAGAUUGACGGCACCGACGGAGGCGCGGUCACCAUCAAGAGCCUUCGCCGCGGCAUGCCGUACCUGAACGCCGUGGUGCUCGAGAGCCUGCGCAUGCACCCGGCGGCGCCGUUCAUGAUGCGCGGGACGCACGGUGACGGAGCCGGGGUGAUGGGCGCGACCACGGUGCCCAACGGCGACGGCUUGAUGGUGCAGUUCGUUCUAGGCGACAUCGGAAGGGACAGCAAGGUGUGGACGGAUCCUGACGAGUUCCGCCCUGAGCGGUUCCUGGCCGGAGGCGAGGCGGAGGGCGUGGGCCCGUUGCCGGGACCCAAGGAGGUGAGGAUGCUGCCGUUCGGUAUAGGGCAUAGGCACUGCCCUGGCACGAGCUUCGCGAUGCUGCAGGUCAAGUGCUUCCUGGCAGCGCUUGUGCGAGAGUUCGAGUGGGCGGAUGACGACUGUGGGAGUACGGCUGGUGGAGUCGACAUGACGGAGCUGGACGUCUUCUUCAAGGUGAUGAAGAAGCCCCUCUCCGCACGUGUCAUGCGACGUAGUAGUGUAAAAUAA